rnacentral:rRNA from 1 species
UUGAACGCUGGCGGCAGUGCCUAACACAUGCAAGUCGAACGCAGCUACGUAGCAAUCCUAAGUGCAGUGGCGAACGGGUGAGUAAUACAGUCGGGAACGUCCCAUUAGUGGGGGAUAGCCGUCCGAAAGGCCGGAUUAAUACCGCAUACGAUCGCUGAAUGGGUGAGAAAGCGGGGAUCGCAAGGACCUCGCGCUAUUGAGAGCGGGCCGAUGUCAGAUUAGCUAGUUGGUGGGGUAACGGCCUACCAAGGCGACGAUCGGUAGCUGGUCUGAGAGGGCGGACGGCCACACUGGGACUGAGACACGGCCCAGACUCCUACGGGAGCAGCAGUGGGAAUGUUGGACAAUGGGCGCAAGCCUGAUGCCAGCCAUGCCGCGUGGCGGGAAUGAAGGCUUCGGGUUGUAAACCGCUGUUGUCAGGGAAGAAACGUCCUGACCUAAUACGUUGGAGCUAAUGACGGUACCGGAAGGAUAAGCACCGGCUAACUACUGUGCCAGCAGCCGCGGUAAUACGUAGGGUGCAAGCGUUAAUCGGAAUUACUGGGCGUAAAGCGUGCGCAGGCGGCUUUGCAAGACAGAUGUGAAAUCCCCGGGCUCAACCUGGGAACUGCAUUUGUGACUGCAAGGCUAGAGUGCGGCAGAGGGGAUGGAAUUCCGCGUGUAGCAGUGAAAUGCGUAGAUAUGCGGAGGAACACCGAUGGCGAAGGCAAUCCCCUGGGCCUGCACUGACGCUCAUGCACGAAAGCGUGGGGAGCAAACAGGAUAGAUACCCUGGUAGUCCACGCCCUAAACGAUGUCAACUGGUUGUUGGACGGCUUGCUGUUCAGUAACGAAGCUAACGCGUGAGGUUGACCGCCUGGGGAGUACGGCCGCAAGGUUGAAACUCAAAGGAAUUGACGGGGACCCGCACAAGCGGUGGAUGAUGUGGUUUAAUUCGAUGCAACGCGAAAAACCUUACCUACCCUUGACAUGCCAGGAACUUGCCAGAGAUGGCUUGGUGCUCGAAAGAGAGCCUGGACACAGGUGCUGCAUGGCCGUCGUCAGCUCGUGUCGUGAGAUGUUGGGUUAAGUCCCGCAACGAGCGCAACCCUUAUCAUUAGUUGCUACGCAAGGGCACUCUAAUGAGACUGCCGGUGACAAACCGGAGGAAGGUGGGGAUGACGUCAGGUCAUCAUGGCCCUUAUGGGUAGGGCUACACACGUCAUACAAUGGCCGGUACAGAGGGCUGCCAACCCGCGAGGGGGAGCUAAUCUCAGAAAACCGGUCGUAGUCCGGAUCGCAGUCUGCAACUCGACUGCGUGAAGUCGGAAUCGCUAGUAAUCGCGGAUCAGCUUGCCGCGGUGAAUACGUUCCCGGGUCUUGUACACACCGCCCGUCACACCAUGGGAGCGGGUUCUGCCAGAAGUAGUUAGCCUAACCGCAAGGAGGGCGAUUACCACGGCAGGGUUCGUGACUGGGGUG